GCUGGACGAGCGUGGUGCGAGGUUGUGGUGGUGAUUCCUUUAUUUCGUUUUCAAGACCAGCGGUUUCUUUGACAAGAUGUUGGAUAAGAUGGUUAAGAAGACUGUAAAACGCAAAUUGACAGAAUCUGUAGAAGGUUCUACAGGAAAGAAAAGAAGACUGGGCUGAACACACAGUCUGAAGGCAGCAGCCCAAAUUUGCCAAAGAAGAAAAAGAAGAAGCUGCCGCAG
rnacentral:lncRNA from 1 species